AGCCCUGGGUGGACUGGGUCCGGAGGCCUGGCUGCAGCCCCGCCCUGCGCCUUUCAUGGGUUGUCCUUGGCCCCAGUGAACAGAGACACAGGUUUCUGAGAACCUGGUCAAAACGUGGAGCCCCAGGACUCCCCUGACCUCCGCCGCCCCCGCGGGAGAGCACGGCGCCCGUUCCAUCAGAUCUGGGAGGCUUGCCUCCAGAGGCUGUGCUAAUCAGGGCCUGGAGGAGGACCUGAAGGGGCCACGCUGUCCUGGGGAGGCGGGCUGCCCUGGGGAGCCUGGGCAGAUGCCCACUCUGCCAGGGAGAGCUGCGGUUUGGAUCAGCUCCUUGACCCGCUGAGCCACCACGGGCAGGAGACAUCCCUCUCAGAACCUCAUCAGAAACACUGGUGAGGACCACCUUCCCUGACUGAGCACAGUGGGCUCAGGGAAGGUCCAGGAGGAGACCCCAGAAGCUCCCUUCAGCCCCGCCCUCAGGAGAACCUGGGGGUGGAGGGACUUCCUCAGCAGUGCCCCUGAACACCCCUCUGAGCUGGAGUGGGCCGCUGCUCAGGGCACGCUGGGUGUCCGCAGGUGCCGACCCACAGAGCGGCUGUGGUAAGUGCAGGAGUGGGGCACCUUCCUCAGGAGGGGUCUGUGUGCCUGGGACCAGCACUGUCCUCCAGCACCCAGGACGGAGCACCCAGGGAGGGGGCGAGGAAGGGUCCCGAGAAAGGGGCACUUGAGCCUCAGGCAGUCUCCUGGCCACACAGGGUCUGGUCAGGGAGGGAGACAGACUGGGGAAGGGAAGAGCAGGCUGAGCAGAGGGACAGAGACCUGGAAGUCCAGAGACGCCCUGGACCUGUGUUGGGGGCCUGGCUGAGGGCGGCAUGGGGUGGGGGAGGCCAGCAGGAGGGUAGAGGCCGCUGCACCCACAGGAGAACAGCAGCCCCGGGCUCAGGCCUCGAAUCCCACAAAGGGCUCGAGGGAGUCAGACGGAAAACAGCAUCCUGCCCGCUGAGCCCAGGCCCCCUGAGAAGUCUCGGUAACACUCAGCAAGCCCCCUUCCAGAGGGGAGAGGUUUCAAAGUAGCUGCCAGACUCCGCUCUCCUCCCACGCCCGCCCUCUCCCCCUCUCCCCCACGGAGCCGGAGCCUUCCCAGCAGCCCGCCCCAACAUUCCUCCUGGAUGUCUCUGCCACUCCCCACAUUCCAAACUCCCAGCUCUGCCAAAAGGGCCCACGUGGUGGGGUCGUGCUGCGGCCAGGACCCUCCCACUUCACCCCAGCCCGGCCUCCCCGGGAUGCAGUGACCCCUCCCACGGGGGCCUGCGAGGUCACCAGCGCUGGCCUUCCUCCAGCUGGCUUUCCAGGGGAGGACAUCGGGGUUCUGAAGGCCUGAAGCUCACCCAGUUCGGGGCCCUCUUUACAAACAAAGAGCUCGGGAUGGCAGGUACAGGGUGCGUAGGAGGGGCUCAUUCAGAAGGGAACCCUGUGGGGAAUCACAAGAGCUGGUGACCGUCCCACAGACAGCACUGCCAGCGCAGGGGAGGGGCAGCUCCAGGCCCCGGGAGGCUCUCCCUGACGCUGCUGACAUGCUCAGUUCCCUGCUCUGUCACAGAUCACCCAGAACCUCUGCUUCACGUCACCACUGGCGUCACACCGCUGGUGACCCGUCACUCCUGUGAGCUGGAGUCAGGGCCGGAGGCGGCCCACUCUACAUGGGCAGCCUGCUUGGGCGCUUCCAGGUGGGGCUCCUCAGCCGGGCCACCCUGAGGGUGGUCCUGGGUCUAGCCUUGUAGUGAUGUCAGAGUAACUGGGAAUUUUGAACACCACCGCAGCUGCCCAAGCCCUGCCAACCUGGGGUGACGUCCCUGUCUGAACCUCCCUCCCAGUUGCUUGGAAGCACAGGAGUCCUGAGGGCCAGGUCAGCACUUUGCAGGAGCAGAGAGGAGGUUCCAAGGCUCCAAGGGCGAGGGGCCAGGCCAGAGGGCGGUGAUGUUCUGGCUAACCUCACCCUGCGUCCCACCUUCCACAUGACUCCUAUUUCCCAGGGCAGUGUCCCAAGCAUGCGGUGGGUGGGAGAAGCGGAGGCCUGGAGGGAGCACAGUCACCCGCGCAGAGGCUCAGGAGUGUCUCAGGGGACUGCACCGCAAGCGACUUCUGUCAAUAUUAGCAGCAGAGAGAAAGGUGGAUGUCAGAGUUUCUGAACGUGCUCUGCCACCUGUUGCCUAGUGGACUGAGUUUCUAAAGCCACCGUAAAGUGCCACCAUCAGUGACCUGGAACAGCAGAGGCUGUCCUCCCACUGACUGGAGGUUGAAGUCCAAGAUCAAGAUGUCAGCAAGAAACCAAUUCACUCACCUCCGGAGCUGAAUGUCUGCGUCCUUCCCCAAGGAGGUGGUGUGAGCCAGGGGACCCUGGAAGCCACUAGAUCAGGAGGGUGGAGCCCUGAUGGAUGGAUUAGCACCUGGGGAAGGGACCCCCGAGACUGACCAAGUUAUGUUAAGUGCGUGUGUGAAUACGCCGCAACGUACCCUCGCCAUGCACCAACUGAGAGAGAGGAGAGCCCGUCCCUGUCAUGGUGUGAAAACGUGGCGGGAAGGAGCACCCACAAGCCAGCCAAGGGCCUCGGACACCCCAUCUGUCAGCCUCGUGAUCCGGGCCCUGCAGCCUCCACAGCUGUGACGAGUGAAUUCUGUCCUUCACGAGCAGGGGCAGGGCCUGGAGGAAGUCCUGAAUGGGUCACCCUGCGGUCACCACUCCCUCAGGGUUGGUUCUUGACUCCACCAUGGAAAAGUCAGGCCAAACACACCCUGGGUCUUCUCUCCAUGAAAGAAAAGAUGGUCACACGACAGGGACUGGCCUUCCUAAGCAGAAGAGAAAGGGGACGCUUCCAGGUGGGGCAAGAUGGAAAGAAGCCCAAGAGGCCUGUUCAGGGACCCAGUGGCCUCUGACUUCGGAAUGGCCAGGGCUGGGCCAAGAGGAGCACGCAGAGGAGUCUUGGCGUGUGGGAGGGUGCCAACGGACAGGUGUUUGGGGCUCAUGAAGCACUAAAGCCCAAAGAACGUGGAAUGUGGGGUACACACUGUGACUCCUGAGUCACGGCCCAGCCAGGGCAGCCAUCACGUGUGUCCUCAGCAGUCCAGUGGCCACCAGCUCUGGAGGUGGCCCUUGCCACUCUAGAAAACCUCACCAUUUAGUCAGAUACAGGGAUAUCCCGCUGCAGGAGACCAAGUCCAUGGCCUGGAAAGGGGCUGGAAACCACCCUGGGUUGUCCCCAUGGGUCCCACCCUCGGCAUCAUCCUCACCCUUGCCCUGCGGAACCACGGGCUGUGCUGGAAGGCGAGCGACUCCAGCCCUGCCUUGCCCGAGUAGAGGCCUGGACUCUGCAGACGCAGACGCACUCCAUGGUGAGACCCUGGGCUCCAACAUCCCCAAAGACGGAGCUCUCUACCAGAGUAAGGAAGGUUGGUUUCCAGGGAGGUUAGGGAUUCUGCAGACAGGCUGGUCUCCUGCAACCGGAAUGUGGAUAACGGAGACCCUUCCGGCCUGACUCUGCGGGCUAAGACCAAGGGUUCAGACGUUCGCUGCUUGAGCUCUCCAGGACCCACAGCCACCUGCAGACUUGGAUGAGCCGCUUGCUCCACAGAAAAAGCAAGGCAGGAGCCCUCUUGAUGGGAGACAGGGGCACAGAAGUGGGGGCCAAGAACGACUUCGCACAGCACCUGCAGGUCCCCAGAGAGCAGCUUCCUGCAGUGUGCACUCUCUCCUCUGCCACACCCUCCUCCCCUGCCCAGUGAGCUACAGUCAGGAAGAGCUAGAAUCCCUUGCAUCCCGCGUCCUGGCUCUGCCCCUCCCCGGACCUACAGAAGUUCCUGGUUCGCAGGUAGGUGAGCAGAGUCUGCGUGGAGCUGGCUGCCAGCUUGUGCACAGCCCUUAGAGGGUGCCCGGUCCACACAGCAUACCAUCUGGGCUCCAGCCUGCCAGCAGGCCACCCCUGGCACUUGGCUCCACCUUCCUGAGCCCGAGUUUUUGUCUGUUAAUAAAUGGUGGCAACAAACCUGCUAGGACUAUUGUGAAUAGAAAGGGAAAGUGCAAGAAAAGAGCUCAGCACAGGAAGCGAGCAGUGAGCACUUAGUAAGAGCGGCCAGCACCUUACAAGGGAGUGAGCUAGUGUCAGAUCUGAGGGUUCCCAAGGCAGCUGGGCUAUUUGAAAACAAAAACAUUCUUUAUUUUUUAGUUCUGGCGUGUAGAAAGCUUCCCAGGGUACUUUUGGUAAGAAACAACCAGAAAGACUAACAUUUUGUACUUUUGGUGUUUGGUUACAGGACAGGGUGGGGAGAGGUGAGCAGACGCUGUGGACUCUCAGCAGCCCUCAGCGGCCGUCCCCAAAUCAGACAAAGGGAUCUGUGGACUCUCAGCAGCCCUCAGCGGCCGUCCCCAAGUCAGACAAAAGGGAUGGGCCCCACUCCCUGUGCCCCGAGCUGUGUGCAGAGCUCCCCCAGCCCAGGCCUUGCUGGGCACCUGCCUCCUGAUGGGGUGUGUGCCCCUCUCACUGCAGAAGGUUGGCGUGAAGAGUCCCAAGUUCGCACCAACAGGCGAGACCUGCUUGAGGCAUGGCUCUGGGAGCUCAGGGCAUUGUUGAGAAGCACGGAGGCUGGGAGGUUCCAGCAGGGUGUGGCCAGGCUGCCCUGACCCAGACAGGAAGACCCAUGGAACAUGGGAGGGAGUGCACACCAGUCCUUGCUCUGUAGAAGGAAGUCUGUUUAGCAUCGGGCUCCGUGGUGGUGCACACCUGUGAUGCCAGCUUUGCCAGGGCUAAGGCAGGAGGAUCUCAAGUUCAAGGGCACCUCAGCAACUUAGGGAGGCCCUGUCUCCAAAUAAAAGGCAAAAGGACGGGGUGCAGCUCAGUGGUAGAGGGCUUGCUUCAUAGAGUGCAGGAGACCCCGGGCUUACCCCCCAUACAAAAGAAAGAGGAAGAGGAAGGGAGGGAAGGAAAGAAGGAAACUCAGGGAGGGAGGAGGCGAGAUCACGACCACCUGGCGUGAAGCAGUCUCAAGGCCUGUGGCCAGGUCCUCAGGUGCGGGGCCAGUGUCACUCUCAGGGUGGGGGGAGGGCCUCAGUGGGCUGAAGAAGGCCCUGACGGCACAAGAACACAGCAGGCUCUCUGGGGCGGCCGGCUGUGACGAUGGGGGCGCCGGCUCUGUACCGUCCCUGUGAGCCCCAGCGCACCAGGGGUUUGCCCUUUGGGGUCCUGCAUGCCUGGGCCCUGCCGCUCGGUAUUGUUUUCUCAGCUUUUGAAGUUGGCGACGAGAACAGCCGGAGCUGCACGUCGGUCGUUGGGUCCUUUCCAGAAGGGUCUGACUGGUCACUGGAGGACCGGCUGCAUUUCCCAGGGCCACAGACCAGGAGCCUGCAGACGGCAGGACUUCCUUCCCUCAGUUCUGGGAGCCAGAACCUGAAGUGUGUCUGUGCAGCCACACACCUGCGGGACAGAGGGGGCUCUCUGAGCUCUCUCCCCUCUCCUGGUGCUGCCACGCCCCUGGUGCACCUGGCGUGAAGAGUCCCAAGUUUGCAUCAAAAGGCGAGACCUGCCUCAGGCGUGACUCUGGGAGCGGCACCACGGCCAGUCUUGUCCUCGGAGGUCUCCUGGCCCCUGCCCAGUGCCUAUCUUCAUGGCACUUCACGCUUCUUACAAGACUCCAGCCACUCCAGGGGGGCCCCCCCGAAGGCCCCACCUCAGCCUGAUGGCAGUGCAAAGGCCCUGUUUCCCAACAAGCUCGCGCUCAAGGAGGCGGAGGCUGGAAUGUCCUCGCACAUUGUGGGAGGACACAGCCCAACCCACGGCAGUGCAGAUUUCAGGCACGGAGCAUCUGUCAACUGAAGCCCCGGGUGAGGAGCGUCCCACUCUGAACCUCCCUCCACUUUCUCCGGGCCUGUGUCCACUUGAACUAGCCAGGUGGUUUGUUCUGCUUCCUGCCUCACCUCCUCUGAAAGCCCGUCCCUUGAGGCUGGAACUUGGGAAAGGGCUGGUGCUCUGCUUCCUCCCAAGCCUCUCCUGAGUCCAGAGGACUUCCCGUUUUCCGCCCUGAAGGUGAAGUUCACUAGUUACGGGAAGCACCGCCCGGCCCGCCCUAGGCUGGAGGCCUCGCUUGCUUGUCUCUCUCACAUGACCACCUCAGGAACCAGUGUGGCACCAGGAGUGCAGGACGUGGACCUGGCUGGGCCUACCGGCUCCUCCUGGCCCCUGAGCACCGUGAAGAGAAAAGAGGGACUUUGAGCCGGGUGGAGGAGAGGCUGCUGAAGAGAGCCGUGAAUCAGGGGAGACAAGAAGCUUUUAACCACUGGGCUGCAAAGUCGAGCCACAGAGAAGCAGGUCUGAGUCACGCUUUCUGUCAUGGACAGCAUUUACCUCGGUCCGGCCAGUGAAAAUGCUCUUGCAAUACAAAACAAACCAGCCCUGACCGCUUAGUUGAGAACACAGGAACUCGUCUUGGUAAGAGAGGAAUUGUCCACCUUGGCGUUAAGGACUUUCUCAGGAUGAUAUUGAGAUCCUAGCGGGCCUGGUGCAGGGUACUAUGUACACAUUGUCAUUUCAAAGCCAAUGUCAAAGUGACACUCCAGAAUCAUUUUUCAAAACUAAGAGAUAUGGGAGAAUUUAACACACAAAGACACUGAAUCCUUAGAAAAAAACACAAGCUGUCGAUGAAUGAAGGCCAGAGAGUGAAGGACACACUUUCCCAGGUUAGUAUAGAGCAAGCAGGGGGAAUCCAUGGGCCGGGUACAUGUGCCUGUCCCCUUCCUAGAGCAGCAGAGGAGGGAAUGGGAGGGAUGCUAGGUGACCUCGCGGGAUCAUUGCACACACUCACUCCCAGAGCAACCGCCGACUCUUCUACGCAAAGUGAUGAUCAAGAGAAAUAGUAAAAUGCUGAGUCCGAGGAAGCUGAGCAGGGGCCCACUGUUGUGAAAUGGUUGACCCAGGGCAGCACACACCCAGAGGGCCCUGCCGCCUGGCCUCCCUCUGCAGGGUCAUCUCAGAAUGGAGUGCCCACUGGGGCUGCACUAGGGUGUCCUCGGGAGGGGAAGCAGGCUGUGGUAUAGGACAGCAACGGGAACGCGACUGAGGACUCAUCAUCCGAGACUCACACCUGCGCAGACCUGGGGGAGGGGUCCGGCACUUCAGGUGGCCUCCUGACACAGGCAACAGGCACGCUUCAGAUGAGCGGAGGCCACUCUGCCGUGAGGACUGGAGUGCAGCACAGGCUGGCCCCAGGUGCGCCAUGUCCACUGGGUCAGUUGACCACCCUAGAGCUUUGAGGAGGAGCAGGGCCCCGGCUGGACUCCACUGUGGCCAGACAGGCCAGGCUCGGUGCCAUUGGAGACCUCCUGCACCUCCAGCUGUGACGUGGGAGAUGGAGUCCCCGGGCCCAGGCAGGCCUGCUGUUGGCUGCAGGGAGUGUGCCAGCCAGGGAGGCUUCAGAGCAACAGAUUUUACUGAAGGCCAUGUGUCCAUGGUGUGCCGGGCCCUGAGAACAGGAGGCCACGAGGCACAACCUCACCCUUGGGAGCUGAACACACAGCCCCAGACCCUGACACCACCAGGGAGGUCACCCAAGGGGCAGAAGGCACAGAAGCAGAGAAGAGCCAGGGAAGGGGGAGGGGAGACGGGCCUUUCCCCUGAGGACCUGCCUCCGGAGCCUGGGCCUGGGGCUGCACUUGCCCUGUCCGCUCUCAGGUCUACCCGGUGUGGCCCUGGCGCCGAGCACUGGGGAGCGUGGCUGUGGGCCUGAGCCUCUGGCUCUUGCCUGGAGCCUGGUGGACGUGUGGUGCUCUGGGCAAGUCCCUGAUCGCUCCUGGACCCUGGUUCCCUCAUACGUAGAGUGAGGGGGCUAGCAGAGAGACUUGUAUGGCCCCUUGGGGGAACAUUAUCCUUAGGACUCAAGACCUCCUGAAGAUUCGUCCACAGUUUUCUAAGACCGCGUGGGCUCAACUCCACACUACCAGGCAGACUCACCCUGGCACAGAUGCCAGUGGCGAACUGGGCUGGAAUUCACCCACACAGCGUGUCAGACACAACCCCCAGUUCCUGCUGCACUGUGGAUCUGGGGCCACACAGGGCAGAACUGGGGGGCUCCUGCCUCCCAUAAGAAAAAGGGGGUGUUUAGUGGAAAUUCCAACUGCCCUCCACUCUGCCUUUAGCAUCUCGUCCCAAGGGCAUCAGUACAGACGAGCAUCCCUGUUAGUUAUUCCCCAGGGUCGCUACAAGGUGGCGUGACUGCCGGUCCCUCUGCUGUGCUGAGCAGGCCAGCACAGAAACACUGAACAAGCCAUGAGCCUGAAAAGUGAUGGAGAUUGGAGUUAAGAAGAGACACGUCCCCUUCACAUGGUCCCUGAGCUGACAUGGACCAGGGAUCCAGAACUAGAUAUGCCCUUCCUGCCUGUUGGGACGGGCACCCCAGUCCUCCUCAGAGGAACACACACACACACACACACACUCGACCACCUGCAGUCAGUCCCCUGCUAGGAGGCCUUUCUCCUUUGACACCUGCCCUGGCCAGAGAGCACCCGGAACACAGUGGCAAGGGUUCAGGGCACUGCAGAGGCCCCCCUGGGAGGUGGAGGGGACAGUGGCCUGGGUGCCCUCCUGAUCCUCCACUCAGUGCUGAUCGAGGGCUUCCUGAGUGUCCUCACCCCUCCCAGUCACCCCCUGUGUGUUGAUGAACUCAUCACUGUGAGCCCUGAGAAGCAGAGGUGAUUGGUCCUCAGUCCUUGCCCUUAGGGUCCCAGACUAUAAGGAGAGAAGAAAGGGAAGCUUCACAGUAUGUGUAAGUGCUGCCCUCCAUCCCCCCGCCCCCAGGCCAGGAAAUAACACAGGAGCAACAGGCCGCCAGUCUACUGCGGAGGUCCCAGGAGCCACGCCCCAGAAGUGUUCAGCCUCUGACUGCAGUCAGGCUCACAGCGGGGUCCUCCGCCGCCGCCAGCACCGCGGAGCCAACAGGAGGGAUGCUGGAAUCCGUGGCGGACCCAGGAUGCUCCCAAAUACGGACCCCGCCCGCAGGUGCCUCUGAAACCAGAGCUCCUCUCCUCAACACCCCAACCAGAGGUAGCAGAGCUGGAGGGUUAGCGCUCCAAGGUACGCUGUAAGAAAAGCCAGGGGUGCAACAGCGUGGAUCCUCCAAGGCCAUUUAUAUAACCCAAGGGUGUGUGUGUGUGUGUGUGUGUGUCCAAACGGGGAGUACAGGAAGGCAGUCACUGGUGUGUGUGUGUGGGGGGGUGUGUGGGUGUGUGUGUGUCUCCAAACGGGGAGUACAGGAAGGCAGUCACUGGUGUGUGUGUGUGGGGGGGUGUGGGUGUGUGUGUGUCUCCAAACGGGGAGUACAGGAAGGCAGUCACUGACCCGUUGGUGUCUUGGGUGUUAUGAGUUGGUGUGGCCAGGGCGCAAUUUGCUCUGUGGUCCUGACUUUUGUGGUCGAAGACUUCUGGCCUGCAGAGACCCAAGUGGCUGACUGGGUCAGUCUGGGAGAAUCCCAUGGCUGCUCUAGCCUCUGACCAAAAGGAACAGGCACAUCUUAGAAACCAGCAGGACUAUCUGCCUCCGUGUAACUGUGAGAGACCUCUUCCUCCCUCACGACUCACGUGAUAGACAGCAGGAAGGAACCAGGAACAUGGUCCUGCUGCCAUUCCUCUUAGUGGUAGAUCAGGGAUGGACGGUGUAAAGAGCAGGCUGCACCUGCCCUGGGUGACUCCAUGGUGUGUAGGACAGCAGUCCUCAGGCUGUGCCUGCCCUGGGUGACUCCAUGGUGUGUAGAACAGCAGUCCUCAGGCUGUGCCUGCCCUGGUGACUCCAUGGUGUGCAGGACAGCAGUCCUCAGGCUGUGCCUGCCCUAGUGACUCCAUGGUGUGCAGGACAGCAGUCCUCAGACUGUGCCUUCUGUGGUGACUCCAUGGUGUGUAGGACAGCAGUCCUCAGGCUGUGUCUGCCCUGAGUGACUCCAUGGUGUGUAGAACAGCAGUCCUCAGGCUGUGCCUGCCCUGGUGACUCCAUGGUGUGCAGGACAGCAGUCCUCAGGCUGUGCCUGCCCUAGUGACUCCAUGGUGUGUAGGACAGCAGUCCUCAGGCUGUGUCUGCCCUGAGUGACUCCAUGGUGUGUAGAACAGCAGUCCUCAGGCUGUGCCUGCCCUGGUGACUCCAUGGUGUGCAGGACAGCAGUCCUCAGGCUGUGCCUGCCCUGGUGACUCCAUGGUGUGCAGGACAGCAGUCCUCAGGCUGUGCCUUCUGUGGUGACUCCAUGGUGUGCAGGACAGCAGUCCUCAGGCUGUGCCUGCCCUGGUGACUCCAUGGUGUGUAGGACAGCAGUCCUCAGGCUGCACCUGCCCUGGUGACUCCAUGGUGUGUAGAACAGCAGUCCUCAGGCUGUGCCUGCCCUAGUGACUCCAUGGUGUGUAGGACAGUAGCUCUCAGGCUGUGCCUGCCCUAGUGACUCCAUGGUGUGUAGGACAGUAGCUCUCAGGCUGUGCCUGGCCUAGUGACUCCAUGGUGUGUAGGACAGCAAUCCUCAGGCUGUGCCUGCCCUGGUGACUCCAUGGUGUGUAGGACAGCAAUCCUCAGGCUGUGCCUGCCCUGGUGACUCCAUGGUGUGUAGAACAGAGUUUUCAGGCUACAGAUAUUAGUAAUUAUGUUUGAAAUAAAAAAAUCUGUGAUUGCCCAGCUUA